CAACCCCGCGUGAGGGAUGAAGGCCUCUGGGCUGUAAACCUCUUUUAUCAAGGAAGAAGAACUGACGGUACUUGAUGAAUAAGCCACGGCUAAUUCCGUGCCAGCAGCCGCGGUAAUACGGGAGUGGCAAGCGUUAUCCGGAAUUAUUGGGCGUAAAGCGUCCGCAGGCGGUUUUACAAGUCUGUCGUUAAAGCGUGGAGCUCAACUCCAUUUCAGCGAUGGAAACUGUAAGACUCGAGUGUGGUAGGGGCAGAGGGAAUUCCCGGUGUAGCGGUGAAAUGCGUAGAUAU
rnacentral:rRNA from 1 species